rnacentral:rRNA from 1 species
AUACGUAGGGGGCGAGCGUUGUCCGGAAUGAUUGGGCGUAAAGGGCGCGUAGGCGGCGCGGUAAGUCCGGAGUGAAAGUCCUGCUUUCAAGGUGGGAAUUGCUUUGGAUACUGCCGCGCUUGAGUGCAGGAGAGGUUAUCGGAAUUCCCGGUGUAGCGGUGAAAUGCGUAGAGAUCGGGAGGAACACCAGUGGCGAAGGCGGGUAACUGGACUGAAACUGACGCUGAGGCGCGAAAGUGUGGGGAGCAAACAGGAUUAGAUACCCUGUUAGUCCACGCCGUAAACGAUGAAUACUAGGUGUCAGGGUGCAAAGCAUCGUGGUGCCGAAGCGAACGCAUUAAGUAUUCCACCUGGGGAGUACGUCCGCAAGAAUGAAACUCAAAGGAAUUGACGGGG